rnacentral:rRNA from 1 species
CGAGUUUGAUCAUGGCUCAGAUUGAACGCUGGCGGCAUGCCUUACACAUGCAAGUCGAACGGUAGCGGGCCUUCGGGUGCCGACGAGUGGCGAACGGGUGAGUAAUGUAUCGGAACGUACCAUUGAGUGGGGGAUAACGUAGCGAAAGUUACGCUAAUACCGCAUAUUCUCUCCGGAGGAAAGCAGGGGACCGCAAGGCCUUGCGCUCUUUGAGCGGCCGAUAUCAGAUUAGCCAGUUGGUGAGGUAAAGGCUCACCAAGGCGACGAUCUGUAGCGGGUCUGAGAGGAUGAUCCGCCACACUGGAACUGAGACACGGUCCAGACUCCUACGGGAGGCAGCAGUGGGGAAUUUUGGACAAUGGGGGCAACCCUGAUCCAGCCAUGCCGCGUGAGUGAAGAAGGCCUUCGGGUUGUAAAGCUCUUUCGGCCGGGAAGAAAUCGCAUGGGUUAAUACCCUGUGCGGAUGACGGUACCGGCAUAAGAAGCACCGGCUAACUACGUG